rnacentral:rRNA from 1 species
AAAGAUUAAGCCAUGCAUGUCUAAGCACAUGCCUCAGUAUGGKGAAGCCGCGAAUAGCUCAUUACAACAGCCAUCGUUUACUAGAAAAUAGUUGUCCUACUUGGGAUAACUGUGGCAAUUCUAGAGCUAAUACAUGCGAAAAAGCUCAGUACCGCAAGGUCUGAGCGCAUUUAUUAGAAUAAAAACCAAUCGGGUCUAACAGCCCGCUCUUUGGUGAAUCUGAAUAACUUUGCUGAUCGCAGGUCUUAGUACCGGCGACGUAUCUUUCAAGUGUCUGCCUUAUCAACUUUCGAUGGUAGGUUAUACGCCUACCAUGGUAGUAACGGGUAACGGAGAAUAAGGGUUCGACUCCGGAGAGGGAGCCUGAGAAACGGCUACCACAUCCAAGGAAGGCAGCAGGCGCGCAAAUUACCCACUUCCAGAACGGAGAGGUAGUGACGAAAAAUAACGAGACAGUCCUCUUCGAGGUCUGUCAUCGGAAUGGGUACAAUUUAAAUCCUUUAACGAGGAUCUAUUGGAGGGCAAGUCUGGUGCCAGCAGCCGCGGUAAUUCCAGCUCCAAUAGCGUAUAUUAAAGUUGUUGCGGUUAAAACGCUCGUAGUUGGAUCUGCGGCCUGAGAGAACGGUCCCCCGAAAGGGCGGUAGCCGUUACUCUUGGCCUAAAUUUUCAGUCGACUCUACGGUGCCCUUAACCGGGUGCUUAGGGUGACUGGAACGUUUACUUUGAAAAAAUUAGAGUGCUUAAAGCAGGCGAAUUUGCCUGAAUAAGGUGCAUGGAAUAAUGGAAUAGGACCUCGGUUCUAUUUUGUUGGUUUUCGGAGCCUGAGGUAAUGAUUAAGAGGAACAGACKGGGGCAUUCGUAUUCCGGCGCUAGAGGUGAAAUUCUUGGACCGCCGGAAGACGGACGACUGCGAAAGCAUUUGCCAAGAAUGUUUUCAUUAAUCAAGAACGAAAGUUAGAGGUUCGAAGGCCGAUCCAGAUACCGCCCUUAGUUCAAUACCGUAAACGAUGACAACCAGCGAUUAGCCGGCGUUAAUAUAUGACCCGGCUAGCAGCUUCCGGGAAACCAAAGUUUUUCGUUUCCGGGGGAAGUAUGGUUGCAAAGCUGAAACUUAAAGGAAUUGACGGAAGGGCACCACCAGGAGUGGAGCCUGCGGCUUAAUUUGACUCAACACGGGAAAACUCACCCGGCCCGGACACCGUAAGGAUUGACAGACUGAGAGCUCUUUCUUAAUUCGGUGGGUGGUGGUGCAUGGCCGUUCUUAGUUGGUGGAGCGAUUUGUCUGGUUAAUUCCGAUAACGAACGAGACUCUGGCCUAUUAAAUAGCCGGUAUAUAUUGAAAGUUUACCGCGCUUCUUAGAGGGACAACCGGCUUCUAGCCGCGUGAAAUAGAGCAAUAACAGGUCUGUGAUGCCCUUAGAUGUCCGGGGCUGCACGCGCGCUACACUGAAAGAAUCAGUAUGCGCUUUUGCCUAGUUCGGAAGAACCGGGUAACCCUAGCAAAUUCUUUCGUGCUUGGGAUAGGGAAUUGCAAUUAUUUCCCUUAAACGAGGAAUUCCCAGUAAAUGCGGGUCAUAAGCUCGCGUUGAUUACGUCCCUGCCCUUUGUACACACCGCCCGUCGCUACUACCGAUUGGAUGACUUAGUGAGGUCUUAGGACCGAGGUAACGGAGCUUUAACGAGUUCCUUUGCUUUGGAAAUUUGAUCGAACUACGUUAUCUAGAGGAAGUAAAAGUCGUAACAAGGUAGCUGGUAGGUGA